CAGCAGCCGCGGUAAUGCGUAGGUGGCAAGCGUUGUCCGGAAUUAUUGGGCGUAAAGGGCUCGCAGGCGGUUUCUUAAGUCUGAUGUGAGAGCCCCCGGCUCAACCGGGGAGGGUCAUUGGAAACUGGGAAACUUGAGUGCAGAAGAGGAGAGUGGAAUUCCGCGUGUAGCGGUGAAAUGCGUAGAGAUGUGGAGGAACACCAGUGGCGAAGGCGACUCUCUGGUCUGUAACUGACGCUGAGGAGCGAAAGCGUGGGGAGCGAACAGGAUUAGAUACCCGAGUAGUCCCUGUCUCUUAUAA
rnacentral:rRNA from 1 species